rnacentral:misc_RNA from 1 species
GUAUUGUAAGUACAAUCUAUGUACACUGUAUGUACAGUAGUCAGUCUUACAUUGUACCGUUUUGACUAGAUUCCCAGAGGAUGAGAAUACUUGGUCCAUAGACAGACAGUUUAUGUUUGGUCCCUCACUGCUCAUCUCUCCAGCACUGGACGAGGGCCAGACUGAAGUCACGGCAUACUUUCCAAAAGGCAGAUGGUUUGACUAUUAUGAGGUUGGUAACUUUCAUUUCUUUGAAUAAUUGGUUAAAUUUCACGUUUACUCUGAGAUGUUUUGGCACAAGAAUCUUAUUUAGAACAUUGACAUAGUGAUUACGCGCUCGUAAUUAUAAUUAAACUUACUGAAAAAAACCCCCAAAAAACCAAAAUACAAUUAAAUUGAACUAAUUUCUUGUAAAAAAUACAUUUCAUAACACAACCAAAAUUAGAAUAUAAUGUACUCAUGCACUGUGUACUAAAUGCACGUGACGUUAGGGCGAAGAGACAAGGUCAUCAGACGGAAGAUUUGUCACAAUCCCCACCCCUCUGUCUUUCCUUCCAUUUCACGCAAGGGGCGGAUCCAUCAUACCAUAUCAAAAUGUAGCCAACUCUACGCAAUACAGCCGCCUGAACCCCAUGGGUCUGUGGUGUGCUUUGGAUGAAAGUUACAGCGCCUCGGGCUCCCUGUAUGUGGAUGACGGGGAGAGCAUAGAUUCUUAUACAACUGGAAAAUAUCUUGAACUCAAGUUUGAACUAAAAGAGGGAGAGCACCUGACGAUAUCCGUGGUCCAUCAAGGAUACACCCCUCCCGGGAAUCUCUCAUUCACCGUCAUAGAGUUUAGCGGACUCCCCGGUGUACCAACGUCUCUCUCCAUUGACGGCCGGCCGAUAGAAGCCAGGCAUAUACAGCUUAAACACAAAAUUGUACAACUUGUUGACAUAAAAUUGGAUAUAACGAAAAAUCACACAGUGAAUUGGAUGGUAUACAAAUGAAGAAACAACUUUAAAAGUUAAAUAAAAGAUUUUCUGAUAUAUUGCUAGAGCUAUCCAUUAAUAUAUCCCAAUUUACAUGAGAAAAACCACGCAAAGCAUAGACACAUAUUUACAGAAUUUCAAACAAUUUAUUUGUUGCCAAGAUUUCUUUGAAAAUAUAGAUCUGAUUUGUGAAUGGGGGUACAUACUCGUAUUCUAUUGCAAAGAACUAGGUAUAUGAGUGUGUUUUGUUUAUUUUUACAAAAUAUUUUAUUAGAAAUUGUGAUCAAACCAUUUGUAAUUAGGGAAAACAAUUGUAUGAAAUAAAAAUUAUCUCUUUUUAUAAAUGAAAAUACUUAUGAAUUAUGACAUAAUCUCAAGUCAAAGACCGCAAUUUGUUCUAAUAUCCAAUCUGCAUUAUACCAAGAAAAAAAAUUAAGCACACACCAUUGUAUACAUGUAUCAGUUUAUUUGAAUUAUUCAUCUACUACCGCUUGUAUUGUUUGAAAGCUUUACAUGUACUUGAAAAUUUUUUAUAUGGAGUGAAAUAAACUGUUGUUCAGU